CCUACGGGUGGCUGCAGUGGGGAAUAUUGGGCAAUGGACGCAAGUCUGACCCAGCAACGCCGCGUGAAGGAAGAAGGCUUUCGGGUUGUAAACUUCUUUUAAGGGGGAAGAGCAGAAGACGGUACCCCUUGAAUAAGCCACGGCUAACUCCGUGCCAGCAGCCGCGGUAAUACGUAGGUGGCAAGCGUUGUCCGGCUUUACUGGCGGUAAAGGGCUUGCAUCCGGGAAGACAAGUCAGAUGUGAAAUCCCGCGGCUCAACCGCGGAACUGAAUUUGAAACCGUUUUUCGUGAGUAGCGGAGAGGUAAGCGGAAUUCCUAGUGGAGCGGUGAAAUGCGGAGAUAUUAGGAAGAACAGCAGUGGCGAAGGCGGAUGACUGGACGACAACUGACGGUGAGGCGCGAAAGCGUGGGGAGCAAACAGGAUUAGAUACCCUAGGAGUC
rnacentral:rRNA from 1 species